rnacentral:rRNA from 1 species
UACGGGGGGGGCAAGCGUUGUUCGGAAUUACUGGGCGUAAAGGGCUCGUAGGCGGCCAACUAAGUCGGAUGUGAAAUCCCUCAGCUUAACUGGGGAACUGCGUCUGAUACUGGAUGGCUUGAGUUUGGGAGAGGGAUGCGGAAUUCCAGGUGUAGCGGUGAAAUGCGUAGAUAUCUGGAGGAACACCGGUGGCGAAGGCGGCAUCCUGGACCAACACUGACACUGAGGAGCGAAAGCCAGGGGAGCAAACGGG